CCUACGGGUGGCAGCAGUGGGGAAUAUUGCACAAUGGGGGAAACCCUGAUGCAGCGACGCCGCGUGAAGGAAGAAGUAUUUCGGUAUGUAAACUUCUAUCAGCAGGGAAGAAAAUGACGGUACCUGACUAAGAAGCCCCGGCUAACUACGUGCCAGCAGCCGCGGUAAUACGUAGGGGGCAAGCGUUAUCCGGAUUUACUGGGUGUAAAGGGAGCGUAGGCGGUUUAGCAAGUCAGAAGUGAAAGCCCGGGGCUCAACUCCGGGACUGCUUUUGAAACUGUUGAACUAGAGUGCAGGAGAGGUAAGUGGAAUUCCUAGUGUAGCGGUGAAAUGCGUAGAUAUUAGGAGGAACACCAGUGGCGAAGGCGGCUUACUGGACUGUAAAUGACGCUGAGGCUCGAAAGCGUGGGGAGCAAACAGGAUUAGAUACCCCUGUAGUC
rnacentral:rRNA from 1 species